UACGGAGGCCUCGAGCGUUGUUCGGAAUCACUGGGCUUAAAGCGCGUGUAGGCGGAGCGGUAAGUACUUUGUGAAAUCCCCGGCUUCAAUCCGGGAACUGCUUGGUAUACUGCCGUUCUUGAGGCAGGUAGGGGUCACUGGAACCUUAGGUGGAGCGGUGAAAUGCGUAGAUAUCUAAGGGAACGCCUGUGGCGAAAGCGGGUGACUGGGCCUGACCUGACGCUGAGACGCGAAAGCGUAGGGAG
rnacentral:rRNA from 1 species